GUCUUCUUGGUGUACUAAACACAAAUGACUUCCAAUCAUUAAACCUCGGUUUAACCCCGAGAGAAGAUA
rnacentral:tRNA from 1 species